GGUCAAGUAAUGAAGUGCACAUGGUGGAUGCCUUGGCAGUCAGAGGCGAUGAAAGACGUGAUAGCCUGCGAUAAGCGUCGGUGAGGUGGCAAUAUCCUGUGACCCGGCGAUUUCUGAAUGGGGAAACCCAACCAACACAAGUUGGUUAUUACACAGUUUACUGUGUAAGGCAAACCGGGAGAAGUGAAACAUCUCAGUACCCCGAGGAAAAGACAUCAAAUGAGAUUCCGUAAGUAGCGGCGAGCGAACACGGAGGAGCCGAUCAAUUUUACAGUAGCAAAAUGGCGUGGAAAAGCCAACCAUAGUAGGUGAUAGUCCUGUAUGCGAAACUGUUUAAGCGACAUAUUAAGUAGGGCGGAACACGAGAAAUUCUGUCUGAAGAUGGGGGACCAUCCUCCAAGGCUAAAUACUCCUGACUGACCGAUAGUGAACCAGUACCGUGAGGGAAAGGCGAAAAGAACCCCUGUUAGGGGAGUGAAAUAGAACCUGAAACCGUGUGCAUACAAGCAGUCGGAGCGGACUUGUUCCGUGACGGCGUACCUUUUGUAUAAUGGGUCAGCGACUUAUAUUCUGUAGCAAGGUUAACCGAAUAGGGGAGCCGUAGGGAAACCGAGUCUUAAUAGGGCGAAUGAGUUGCAGGGUAUAGACCCGAAACCGAGUGAUCUAUCCAUGAGCAGGUUGAAAGUGCCGUAACAGGCACCGGAGGACCGAACCCACUGUCGUUGAAAAGCCAGGGGAUGACUUGUGGAUAGGGGUGAAAGGCUAAUCAAACUCGGUGAUAGCUGGUUCUCCCCGAAAGCUAUUUAGGUAGCGCCUCGGACGAACACCAUUGGGGGUAGAGCACUGUUUCGGCUAGGGGUCAUCCCGACUUACCAAACCGAUGCAAACUCCGAAUACCGAUGAGUGAUAUCCGGGAGACAGACGGCGGGUGCUAACGUCCGUCGUCAAGAGGGAAACAACCCAGACCGCCAGCUAAGGCCCCAAAUUCCUAGUUAAGUGGGAAACGAUGUGGGAAGGCACAGACAGCUAGGAGGUUGGCUUAGAAGCAGCCACCCUUUAAAGAAAGCGUAAUAGCUCACUAGUCGAGUCGGCCUGCGCGGAAGAUGUAACGGGGCUCAAACUAGGAGCCGAAGCUGCGGAUUUAAUUGUUUCAAUUAAGUGGUAGGGGAGCGUUGUGUAAGCCUGUGAAGGUGCACUGUAAGGUGUGCUGGAGGUAUCACAAGAGCGAAUGCUGACGUGAGUAACGACAAAACGGGUGAAAAGCCCGUUCGCCGGAAGACCAAGGGUUCCAGUCCAACGUUAAUCGGGGCUGGGUGAGUCGACCCCUAAGGCGAGGCCGAAAGGCGUAGUCGAUGGGAAAUCGGUUAAUAUUCCGAUACUUGUUUAUGAUGCGAUGGAGGGACGGAGAAGGUUAUGCCAGCCUGGCGAUGGUUGUCCAGGUGGAAGGAUGUAGUUAGACUGAGUAGGCAAAUCCGCUCGGUUAUUAAUGAGAUCUGAUAGCAAGCCAGUUUACUGGCGAAGUGGCAAAUACCCUGCUUCCAGGAAAAGCUUCUAAGCGAUAGUCAUAAACGAAUCGUACCCGAAACCGACACAGGUGGUCAGGUAGAGAAUACCAAGGCGCUUGAGAGAACUCUGCUGAAGGAACUAGGCAAAAUGGUACCGUAACUUCGGGAGAAGGUACGCUGCCGAUGGUGAUGAAACUUGCUUUCUGAGCUGUUGGCAGUCGCAGAUACCAGGCUGCUGCAACUGUUUAUUAAAAACACAGCACUCUGCAAACACGAAAGUGGACGUAUAGGGUGUGAUGCCUGCCCGGUGCUGGAAGGUUAAUUGAUGGGGUUAGCGUAAGCGAAGCUCUUGAUCGAAGCCCCAGUAAACGGCGGCCGUAACUAUAACGGUCCUAAGGUAGCGAAAUUCCUUGUCGGGUAAGUUCCGACCUGCACGAAUGGCAUAAUGAUGGCAGCGCUGUCUCCAGCAGAGACUCAGUGAAAUCGAAAUCGCAGUGAAGAUGCUGUGUACCCGCGGCUAGACGGAAAGACCCCGUGAACCUUUACUACAGCUUUACAUUGAACUUUGACCUAACUUGUGUAGGAUAGGUGGGAGGCUUUGAAGCAGAUACGCCAGUAUUUGUGGAGCCAACCUUGAAAUACCACCCUGGUUAUGUUGGGGUUCUAACUUAGAUAUAACAGUAUCAAGGACAAUGUAUGGUGGGUAGUUUGACUGGGGCGGUCUCCUCCUAAAGAGUAACGGAGGAGUACGAAGGUGCGCUCAGAACGGUCGGAAAUCGUUCAAAGAGUAUAAAGGCAAAAGCGCGCUUAACUGCGAGACCCACAAGUCGAGCAGGUACGAAAGUAGGUCUUAGUGAUCCGGUGGUUCUGUAUGGAAGGGCCAUCGCUCAACGGAUAAAAGGUACUCUGGGGAUAACAGGCUGAUACCGCCCAAGAGUUCAUAUCGACGGCGGUGUUUGGCACCUCGAUGUCGGCUCAUCUCAUCCUGGGGCUGAAGCAGGUCCCAAGGGUAUGGCUGUUCGCCAUUUAAAGAGGUACGCGAGCUGGGUUUAGAACGUCGUGAGACAGUUCGGUCCCUAUCUACCGUGGGCGUUGGAAAUUUGAGAGGAUCUGCUCCUAGUACGAGAGGACCAGAGUGGACGAACCUCUGGUGUUUCGGUUGUCACGCCAGUGGCAUUGCCGAGUAGCUACGUUCGGAUGGGAUAACCGCUGAAAGCAUCUAAGCGGGAAGCCCACCUCAAGAUGAGAUUUCCCUAAGAGCCGUUGUAGACUACGACGUUGAUAGGUUGGGUGUGGAAGUGUAGUGAUACAUGUAGCUAACCAAUACUAAUUGCUCGUUUGGCUUGACCAU
rnacentral:rRNA from 1 species